rnacentral:rRNA from 1 species
CCUACGGGGGGCAGCAGUGAGGCAUAUUGGUCAAUGGACGAGAGUCUGAACCAGCCAAGUAGCGUGAAGGAUGACUGCCCUAUGGGUUGUAAACUUCUUUUAUAAAGGAAUAAAACGAGGCACGUGUGCCUUUUUGCAUGUACUUUAUGAAUAAGGAUCGGCUAACUCCGUGCCAGCAGCCGCGGUAAUACGGAGGAUCCGAGCGUUAUCCGGAUUUAUUGGGUUUAAAGGGAGCGUAGAUGGGUUGUUAAGUCAGUUGUGAAAGUUUGCGGCUCAACCGUAAAAUUGCAAUUGAUACUGGCAGUCGUGAGUACAGUUGAGGUAGGCGGAAUUCGUGGUGUAGCGGUGAAAUGCUUAGAUAUCACGAAGAACCCCGAUUGCGAAGGCAGCUUACUAAACUGUGACUGACAUUGAUGCUCGAAAGUGUGGGUAUCAAACAGGAUUAGAUACCCGGGUAGUC